ACCAACAUGGCAUAGUGGUUUGGGUUUUGGACUAGGACUCUGGAGGCCAGGGUUCAAACCCCUGCUCAGUCA